rnacentral:tRNA from 1 species
GUGGGUAUAGCUCAAUUGGUUAGAGCGCCGGACUGUGGAUCCGGAGGUCGAGGGUUCAAAGCCCUCUACCCACC